rnacentral:rRNA from 1 species
UACGGGGGGGCAAGCGUUGUUCGGAAUUACUGGGCGUAAAGGGCGCGUAGGCGGCCUGCUAAGUCGGACGUGAAAUCCCUCGGCUCAACCGGGGAACUGCGUCCGAUACUGACAGGCUCGAAUCCGGGAGAGGGAUGUGGAAUUCCAGGUGUAGCGGUGAAAUGCGUAGAUAUCUGGAGGAACACCGGUGGCGAAGGCGGCAUCCUGGACCGGCAUUGACGCUGAGGCGCGAAAGCCAGGGGAGCAAACGGG